CUGUGUUCCAUUCAAGAAAUUGCAAUUCUUCGAAUAACUUCACACUUUUUUUGCAUAUUCAUUAUUCCUUUUGGUUCAUGUAUCAAAUGUACCAUUUUUGCGAUUGCAGCUUUGCCCCAGCUCAUCUCCUCCUUUACGCGUUUCGCCCCCGUUCAUCAGUCAACACUUUACGCUUUGCUGUGCCCUGCUUCUAGUAUUGGUAUUCACUGGUUUACCAAAGUGACGUUCAAAUCAUAAAAUCAGUUUUUGCACGUAUUUCCUCAGCUAAGCUAAAUUAUUUUGGGUACGGUUGCAGUUUUGGUGGCAGGUCAUAGCCAGUCGAAGUCGGUAAGAGGACCGGCCGUGCGCGGCUUUGUGCAAAUGCUAACCUUUGUACUCUAAAUUCUGCCAUAAAACCGGAAUUUUUGCGAUCAGAGGGUAGAGGGUUGCCGGCAGCAUAGGCGGCGGAACGGAGAGGGGACCCGGGCACCGUGACCCCCUUUGAUUUUGGCAUUUUAGCAAUAGCCCUAUGGGUGUUGCAUGGAAAAAAUGGGACCAAAAGUCAGCAGUGUCAGUCAGCAGAACCCCCCCCCCCCUUAAUUGAAGGUGUUCCGCCGCUACUGGCUGGCAGGGUCUACACUAUUCACUGGUUUUCAAGAUAUCAGGCAUUAACUUUUGUUUAAUUUUUGGGUUCUCUGCUCUGCUUACAACAGCAUUUGGAACCAGUGAUUUAACCCGCACACCGACGGGGGUCUACGCCAACUUCGUACCGACGGGGGGGGCGGAUGACCGCCCCCCCCCCCCCUGAGAUCUCGAGAACGAAGCAAGAUAGCGACAAGCGGUAAACGGCAUCGGAUACGCACGGAUAGGGUCUACAAUUUUUACACAGGUCAUUUUCAGGUCAGGUCAAAGAUGACGUCACAGGGGUCAAAAAAGUCAAAAUGGCGGCGCUAGAUAAGGAUAGAGUUUUUCUCGAAUAACUUUCGAAUUAGUCAUGAUAGGAACAAUUUAAGGGCAUCAUCGUGAUCCUCUUGUCAAUCCCCAUCGAAUGAUAUAUGUUGACCUCGAAAGGUCAAGGUCAAAGGUUGACCUCAGGUCACGUGACCUCGUGGUCAUCAUGUAUGUCAUUCGAUGCGUCUUGACGAGCUGAACACAAUGAGACCAUCCGCGUGGCUGUAUCUUGUUCCUGUACGGAGUUAUUGGCAAAAAACCUUUGGUGACCUUUGAUGGCAUCCCAUGACCUUACAGCUGCCCAACAGCAAAACAGACCUCAAGGUAGUGAAGGUUGAUGGUAUAUGAAGUCAUGUAUGGUAUAUGGGGCCAUUCCGACCCGUUUUAGUGGUAAAAACAGGGAAUUGAUUUUUCCCCCAUUGACUUAUAAUGGGGAGGUCGCGAAAUUGACCUGACCUUAGGUCACCGACAUCAAAAUUCCAAGAUAAACAAAUUGUAGCUAAUAAUGACCUAAUAACAUCCUGUGACUUUCAAAGGCCUCCGACAUCUACUGUAGCUCUGGCACGGUGACAAAGUUGCAAAAAAGUGACUUGAGGUUGGGUCAUUCAAAGUGACCUGGUCACAAGUAUGACAUAUAUUGCACGCAAAGCAGCAUAUACAACCACCUGUUACCAAAACUUCUAAGCAGAAUAUUUUCAUUCAGUAGAACUGCGCUGAUAUCACUAAUUCUAAGGGGGUCUACAAAUGCAUUAGCCCCUUAAAAUCUGAAAACUGUAAGCUUCAAAUUAAAUAUCUCCUAAUUUAAGAAUUUCUUGAUGUUGCAAGUGGACGAACAGGGACCCCGAUUCGGCUGCCUUAACUCAAGUCCAAUGUUAAGCUGGGAUGGUGGAAGGGUCCCUUUAAGGCUUCAACUAAACUAUGACACCAGCUUCGAGAAUCGACUUAUACCCAGCAAAGAGACCGUCAUGAGACACCUUACGCAAGGUACAAACGCGAUAAGGGUCGUCAUCCGGUUCGCCGAGACGACGGGCCUGCAAGGACAGUAACACGUAAGGAAGCAAAGAGACCGUCAUGGUGAACCCUAUACAAGGCCUUACAAACGACAACGGGCGUCAUUCUGGUCGCCGAGACGACGGGUCUGCGAACAUAAUAAAACGUACGUAAGGAAGGAGAUGCUCCAGAAAUGAAAGGUUUCGAAUUUUAUGUUAUAUGCUAUUGGGGAUUGAUUCCCAUGGACGGCGUAUUGAUUCCGCUGUGCCAAAAAGUCGCCACCAAAUUUGGUUACUAUAUAUGAGUUAUUUGCUAAUUUGCUCUUACUUUCACAUGACACUACACCGUUUUGUCACACUACACCGUUUUGGAGAGCCUUUGUGACACUACACAAAGGCUCUCCAUUGGACAGGGACCAGUGAUGAUCCCAAACAGAACAUUUGUGUAGUCUCACAGAACGCACGCACGUAACUGCUCCACCAUUAUUGGUGAUGAAUGAACGCUCUCUGGCUUCGAAAGCAAGUGAUGACGUCUUUCAUUCUCGUUUCCUUUGUCUCCAACUGCCUCACCAUUGGAAAUUCGACGAUACAGUAACAGCCGACAAAUAUGGUCAUGGUUUAGUGUAUCAGACUUUUGCCCAUCCCAAAGGCUAGUUAUUAAGUAUUUAUAAUAACCCCCGUAUUUUACCGUCUGAUGAAAUCAACAAUAAGUGUUUUUAUGCUUAUGUAUGGAAAAAAUCGCCUCUGAACUGCUUGGUGGAACUUUUUGCGCUGCAUUUUACGUUUGUAUUUCCGCGCAGGUCUAUAAUAUAUUAACACCUCGGCCGUUACUUUGUGUACCCAAUCCAUCUAGUAAGUGAAAAUAGAAUAGUCAUAUGAGAAUGGCCGAGUCGGCAAGGGGCCAUACUCAGAUGAAUGGCAUAUUACUGAUGACGCCAUGGGAACCGUGUUGCGUCACAUCCUACGUGCUUCUGGACGCCGGUAACGUCUACCGUUUAAACAUGGCAUGUCAAAGUCAUCAAAUUACAAUGUGCUUUUAGAAUCAGAGACCUAUUAGAAACUAGUUUUCGGCCAACCGAGCUCGUAUAUUCGGAUCCAGAACGGUAUUUUUACGGGGUCUUAUAGAUGACGACUCGACUCUCAUCCCUAACGUUUUUGAAUUUCUCAACUACGUUUGUUUUUCGGUCGUCUUCUCGACGAACUCAUAGGGCUGGUAGUCUGCAGUUUUAUCUCAUUGUUUCCGCGACCUUUUAUCUUCUACAUUCACGCUUCUGAUACACUGAACAUUGUACCAUGUGUCAUACGGUCCAAAGCCUUCCCAGUUCACCUUGUUUGCGCUCCGAUUGCUACUGGGAUGUCCCACUUGUUGUAAACCCCACGCACUGCUUCUUCAUCACUUUCUGUACUACCUUGCCGAGUUGCAACAGUGAAGCUUCGUAUUUGGUGUUUUGGCGUGUCUUUUCCUACUACUUCGCAGUGCCUGAUGCUGAUGACCUGUUGAGGUCUUCAGGCUCUAAUAGCGAUUUCAUCUUAUUUUCGCUUUAUCCACGUUUACCUACAAAUGCCAAAAGCGUAGGUACUAAAUGUACCGCACACGCACAUUGACCAUUGUGAAGCGUUGCUCGACUCUGUGUCGUAUUGAUUGUGCGAGUCGGUUUCAGUAACGGGAUUUGACUGCAGCACGUAACAUACUUUUGUAUUUCCGCGCAGGUUUUCUCACUUGUUUCGUGACUCGGGCGAGACACGGGAUGAAAUCAGUUUAUCCCCGUCGCUCCAUGCACCGGUGGCACACGGUAUUUUGUGACUGUAUGCGCCGUCCUAGAAUUCGACCUGGAUGGCACAUUGACUCCAGCCAUGCUAUGUGAGUGAUCGUUACGUCGUCAAUCUAUAACUUUUCAUAACACAUCGAACAAGCUACCGCUAAAGUGGUUUUAGAAGUGAACAGUGGACAAUGAAACAGCACUUAUAUAUGUUUUCAAGUAUCAAAACACAAAGGCUCUGCAUUGGACAGGGACCAGUGAUGAUCCCAAACAGAACAUUUGUGAAGGCUCACAGAACGCACGUCCAGAAUUGCUCCACAAUUUUGUCAUCAUUUUUCAUCACGCUUCUGAUAUACUGAACAUUGUACCAUGUGUCAUACGAUUCAAAGCCUUCGCAGUUCACCUUGUUUGCUCUGAUUGCUACUGGGAGGUCCCACUUGUGAACCCCACGCACUGCUUCUUUAUCACUUUCUGUACUACCUUACCGAGUUGCAACAGUGAAGCUUCGUAUUUGGUGUUUUGGCGUGGCUUUUCCCACUUUGUUUUGCAGUGCCUGAUGCUCAUGACCUGUUGAGGUCUUCAGGCUCGAAUAGCGAUUUCAUCUUAUUUUCGCUUUAUCCACGUUUACCUGCAAAUGCCAAAAGCGUACUAAAUGUACCGCACACGCACAUUGGCCAUUGCGAAGCGUUGCUCGACUCUGUGUCGUAUUCAUUGUGCGAGUCGGUUUCAGUAACGGGUUUUGACUGCAGCACAUAAUAUUCUUUUGUAGUUCCGCGCAGGUUUUCACACUUGUUUCGUGACUCGGGCGAGACACGGGAUGAAAUCUGUUUAUCCCCGUCGCUCCAUCCACCGGUGACACACGAUAAUCUUGUGACUGUGUGCGCCGUCCUAGAAUUCGAUCUGGAUGGCACAUUGACUCCAGCCAUGAUAUGUGAGUGAUCGUGCUACCGCUAAAGUGGUUUUGUAAGUAAACAGAGGACAAUGAAACAGCACUUUAAAAUGUUUUCAACUAUCAAAACAUAAAGGUUCUCCAUUGCACAGGGACCAGUGAUGAUCCCGAACAGAACAUUAGUGAAGGCUCACAGAACGCACGUCCAGAACUGCUCCAUAAUUUUGUCAUCAUUUUUCGUCACGCUUCUGAUACACUGAACAUUGUACCAUGUGUCAUACGAUCCAAAGCCUUCCCAGUUCACCUUGUUUGCGCUCUGAUUGCUACUGGGAGGUCCCACUUGUUGUAAACCCCACGCACUGCUUCUUCAUCACUUUCUGUACUACCUUACCGAGUUGCAACAGUGAAGCUUCGUAUUUGGUGUUUUGGCGUUGCUUUGUCUUUCUUUGCAGUGCCUGAUGCUCAUGACCUGUUGAGGUCUUCAGGCUCUACAGUCACUCCAGUUGGGAUGCUUGACUUUGCUUCCGUUUUCUUUCUUUUUCUAGUUUUUUUUUAAUCUUGCAAAAGUGUACUGACUGACUCGUCCAGCACAGACGUGGCCUCUUUCACACCGAUUCCAAGCACACGCUGCAGAACUUUGAUUGGAUCUUGGGAAAGUAUUCCAGUUGUUCUGAAGACUGGGUUUCCCCUGACAUCUGAUUCUGGACAGACAGCUUGCUCUCCAGUGAAGGCAGUACUGCUAUUGGGAUGCUGGUCUUUGUACUGGCCUACGUCAUGCAGUCUUCCAUCAUCUUGUGCCACACUCGCUUGGCUGAGUAACCAUUGACAUCCAGUGGGUGCUGUAGAUGUAUGGUGUAUUGCACGAGAGUGACAAAGAUGAUGUCCUUGCUAAUUUCCAUUGGAAUGCUGAUGUGAAAUGCCAGGUUGACCCCUAUAAGGAACUUUUUUCUGAUUGUCCUCUUCACGUUGGCUCUCACAUGUUAAUCUGCAUCUUUUCUUCUAACAGGCGUUUGCUUAGAGUUUUUUGUUUGUCGUCAUGAUUUGUCUUUAAUGAACUACAUAGGUCGAGCAUUCAACUUCAAAUGCCACACAUUAUUUAUGUUGAAAUUUUUAUGGGCGCAAAAUGACCACAGCAGUCGUCGUAAAUCCCUGAUAAACAAACAUAUUAGAUUAAAUGCAUGGUCGAACGUUAUACUAUAUUUGCCGUAUAUUGAAUAAUACAAAUCCUUGUUACACACUGUGUUGUAUUCAUAAUAUUCAUAUUCAUUCACAAAUACAAAAGAACGUUGCAUACGUCGCAUAUGUUAAUUGCAUUGUCAAACGUUAUACUAAUUGUGUAUGCCGCACGACGCGCAUUGGUUGUAUUCCUAAGAUUUAUAUCUAUUCAAAAGUACAAAGGAAACAACGGCCGCCAUCCUGGUUGCUGAGACGACAAACACCAAAGCAUAAUAAACCGCAAAAAAGUAGAUACUCCAGAAGUGAAAAAUUUCGAAAUUCAUGCCAUUGGGAAUUCUCAUGGUCGGCGUCUAGGUUCUGCUGUGCCCAAAAGUCGCCACUAAAUUGGGUAACUGUCUAUGAGUUGCUUGCUAGACGGCAGUUGCUGCAUAGCUGGUCCUGGCCGUAGCUUAGAGAAGAACGCUCUCUGGCUCCGGAAGCAAGCGGUGACGGUUUUCAUUCUCGUUACCUUCGGCUCCAACUGCUCACUUUCGAGCUAUUCGACGACACGCUAAAACCCGCACAAAGAUAUUGUCGUAGAUAAGUAUGAGCAUCAUCACGUUGUCUCUUCCACAGCAAAGAGACCGUCAUGGUGAACCCUAUACAAGGCCUUACAAACGACAACGGGCGUCAUUCUGGUCGCCGAGACGACGGGUCUGCGAACAUAAUAAAACGUACGUAAGGAAGGAGAUGCUCCAGAAAUGAAAGGUUUCGAAUUUUAUGUUAUAUGCUAUUGGGGAUUGAUUCCCAUGGACGGCGUAUUGAUUCCGCUGUGCCAAAAAGUCGCCACCAAAUUUGGUUACUAUAUAUGAGUUAUUUGCUAAUUUGCUCUUACUUUCACAUGACACUACACCGUUUUGUCACAUUACACCGUUUUGGAGAGCCUUUGUGACACUACACAAAGGCUCUCCAUUGGACAGGGACCAGUGAUGAUCCCAAACAGAACAUUUGUGUAGUCUCACAGAACGCACGCACGUAACUGCUCCACCAUUAUUGGUGAUGAAUGAACGCUCUCUGGCUUCGAAAGCAAGUGAUGACGUCUUUCAUUCUCGUUUCCUUUGUCUCCAACUGCCUCACCAUUGGAAAUUCGACGAUACAGUAACAGCCGACAAAUAUGGUCAUGGUUUAGUGUAUCAGACUUUUGCCCAUCCCAAAGGCUAGUUAUUAAGUAUUUAUAAUAACCCCCGUAUUUUACCGUCUGAUGAAAUCAACAAUAAGUGUUUUUAUGCUUAUGUAUGGAAAAAAUCGCCUCUGAACUGCUUGGUGGAACUUUUUGCGCUGCAUUUUACGUUUGUAUUUCCGCGCAGGUCUAUAAUAUAUUAACACCUCGGCCGUUACUUUGUGUACCCAAUCCAUCUAGUAAGUGAAAAUAGAAUAGUCAUAUGAGAAUGGCCGAGUCGGCAAGGGGCCAUACUCAGAUGAAUGGCAUAUUACUGAUGACGCCAUGGGAACCGUGUUGCGUCACAUCCUACGUGCUUCUGGACGCCAGUAACGUCUACCGUUUAAACAUGGCAUGUCAAAGUCAUCAAAUUACAAUGUGCUUUUAGAAUCAGAGACCUAUUAGAAACUAGUUUUCGGCCAACCGAGCUCGUAUAUUCGGAUCCAGAACGGUAUUUUUACGGGGUCUUAUAGAUGACGACUCGACUCUCAUCCCUAACGUUUUUGAAUUUCUCAACUACGUUUGUUUUUCGGUCGUCUUCUCGACGAACUCAUAGGGCUGGUAGUCUGCAGUUUUAUCUCAUUGUUUCCGCGACCUUUUAUCUUCUACAUUCACGCUUCUGAUACACUGAACAUUGUACCAUGUGUCAUACGGUCCAAAGCCUUCCCAGUUCACCUUGUUUGCGCUCCGAUUGCUACUGGGAUGUCCCACUUGUUGUAAACCCCACGCACUGCUUCUUCAUCACUUUCUGUACUACCUUGCCGAGUUGCAACAGUGAAGCUUCGUAUUUGGUGUUUUGGCGUGUCUUUUCCUACUACUUCGCAGUGCCUGAUGCUGAUGACCUGUUGAGGUCUUCAGGCUCUAAUAGCGAUUUCAUCUUAUUUUCGCUUUAUCCACGUUUACCUACAAAUGCCAAAAGCGUAGGUACUAAAUGUACCGCACACGCACAUUGACCAUUGUGAAGCGUUGCUCGACUCUGUGUCGUAUUGAUUGUGCGAGUCGGUUUCAGUAACGGGAUUUGACUGCAGCACGUAACAUACUUUUGUAUUUCCGCGCAGGUUUUCUCACUUGUUUCGUGACUCGGGCGAGACACGGGAUGAAAUCAGUUUAUCCCCGUCGCUCCAUGCACCGGUGGCACACGGUAUUUUGUGACUGUAUGCGCCGUCCUAGAAUUCGACCUGGAUGGCACAUUGACUCCAGCCAUGCUAUGUGAGUGAUCGUUACGUCGUCAAUCUAUAACUUUUCAUAACACAUCGAACAAGCUACCGCUAAAGUGGUUUUAGAAGUGAACAGUGGACAAUGAAACAGCACUUAUAUAUGUUUUCAAGUAUCAAAACACAAAGGCUCUGCAUUGGACAGGGACCAGUGAUGAUCCCAAACAGAACAUUUGUGAAGGCUCACAGAACGCACGUCCAGAAUUGCUCCACAAUUUUGUCAUCAUUUUUCAUCACGCUUCUGAUAUACUGAACAUUGUACCAUGUGUCAUACGAUUCAAAGCCUUCGCAGUUCACCUUGUUUGCUCUGAUUGCUACUGGGAGGUCCCACUUGUGAACCCCACGCACUGCUUCUUUAUCACUUUCUGUACUACCUUACCGAGUUGCAACAGUGAAGCUUCGUAUUUGGUGUUUUGGCGUGGCUUUUCCCACUUUGUUUUGCAGUGCCUGAUGCUCAUGACCUGUUGAGGUCUUCAGGCUCGAAUAGCGAUUUCAUCUUAUUUUCGCUUUAUCCACGUUUACCUGCAAAUGCCAAAAGCGUACUAAAUGUACCGCACACGCACAUUGGCCAUUGCGAAGCGUUGCUCGACUCUGUGUCGUAUUCAUUGUGCGAGUCGGUUUCAGUAACGGGUUUUGACUGCAGCACAUAAUAUUCUUUUGUAGUUCCGCGCAGGUUUUCACACUUGUUUCGUGACUCGGGCGAGACACGGGAUGAAAUCUGUUUAUCCCCGUCGCUCCAUCCACCGGUGACACACGAUAAUCUUGUGACUGUGUGCGCCGUCCUAGAAUUCGAUCUGGAUGGCACAUUGACUCCAGCCAUGAUAUGUGAGUGAUCGUGCUACCGCUAAAGUGGUUUUGUAAGUAAACAGAGGACAAUGAAACAGCACUUUAAAAUGUUUUCAACUAUCAAAACAUAAAGGUUCUCCAUUGCACAGGGACCAGUGAUGAUCCCGAACAGAACAUUAGUGAAGGCUCACAGAACGCACGUCCAGAACUGCUCCAUAAUUUUGUCAUCAUUUUUCGUCACGCUUCUGAUACACUGAACAUUGUACCAUGUGUCAUACGAUCCAAAGCCUUCCCAGUUCACCUUGUUUGCGCUCUGAUUGCUACUGGGAGGUCCCACUUGUUGUAAACCCCACGCACUGCUUCUUCAUCACUUUCUGUACUACCUUACCGAGUUGCAACAGUGAAGCUUCGUAUUUGGUGUUUUGGCGUUGCUUUGUCUUUCUUUGCAGUGCCUGAUGCUCAUGACCUGUUGAGGUCUUCAGGCUCUACAGUCACUCCAGUUGGGAUGCUUGACUUUGCUUCCGUUUUCUUUCUUUUUCUAGUUUUUUUUUUUAAUCUUGCAAAAGUGUACUGACUGACUCGUCCAGCACAGACGUGGCCUCUUUCACACCGAUUCCAAGCACACGCUGCAGAACUUUGAUUGGAUCUUGGGAAAGUAUUCCAGUUGUUCUGAAGACUGGGUUUCCCCUGACAUCUGAUUCUGGACAGACAGCUUGCUCUCCAGUGAAGGCAGUACUGCUAUUGGGAUGCUGGUCUUUGUACUGGCCUACGUCAUGCAGUCUUCCAUCAUCUUGUGCCACACUCGCUUGGCUGAGUAACCAUUGACAUCCAGUGGGUGCUGUAGAUGUAUGGUGUAUUGCACGAGAGUGACAAAGAUGAUGUCCUUGCUAAUUUCCAUUGGAAUGCUGAUGUGAAAUGCCAGGUUGACCCCUAUAAGGAACUUUUUUCUGAUUGUCCUCUUCACGUUGGCUCUCACAUGUUAAUCUGCAUCUUUUCUUCUAACAGGCGUUUGCUUAGAGAUUUUUGUUCGUCGUCAUGAUUUGUCUUUAAUGAACUACAUAGGUCGAGCAUUCAACUUCAAAUGCCACACAUUAUUUAUGUUGAAAUUUUUAUGGGCGCAAAAUGACCACAGCAGUCGUCGUAAAUCCCUGAUAAACAAACAUAUUAGAUUAAAUGCAUGGUCGAACGUUAUACUAUAUUUGCCGUAUGUUGAAUAAUACAAAUCCUUGUUACACACUGUGUUGUAUUCAUAAUAUUCAUAUUCAUUCACAAAUACAAAAGAACGUUGCAUACGUCGCAUAUGUUAAUUGCAUUGUCAAACGUUAUACUAAUUGUGUAUGCCGCACGACGCGCAUUGGUUGUAUUCCUAAGAUUUAUAUCUAUUCAAAAGUACAAAGGAAACAACGGCCGCCAUUCUGGUUGCUGAGACGACAAACUCCAAAGCAUAAUAAACCGCAAAAAGUAGAUACUCCAGAAGUGAAAAAUUUCGAAAUUCAUGCCAUUGGGAAUUCUCAUGGUCGGCGUCUAGGUUCUGCUGUGCCCAAAAGUCGCCACUAAAUUGGGUAACUGUCUAUGAGUUGCUUGCUAGACGGCAGUUGCUGCAUAGCUGGUCCUGGCCGUAGCUUAGAGAAGAACGCUCUCUGGCUCCGGAAGCAAGCGAUGACGGUUUUCAUUCUCGUUACCUUCGGCUCCAACUGCUCACUUUCGAGCUAUUCGACGACACGCUAAAACCCGCACAAAGAUAUUGUCGAAGAUAAGUAUGAGCAUCAUCACGUUGUCUCUUCCACAGCAAAGAGACCGUCAUGGUGAACCCUAUACAAGGCCUUACAAACGACAACGGGCGUCAUUCUGGUCGCCGAGACGACGGGUCUGCGAACAUAAUAAAACAUCCCGAAAGAAGAUAACAGCUUGUUUUCUUCACCGCCACCAGUCUACCUGCUCUCUGCACACUCGGCAGAGCGCGGCAGGGCACCCCACGGAGCUGCACUAGUCACAUCCGGGCCCCACGCCGGUCGACGGCCGAUGCGCCGCUGGGAGGCCUGCGGCGCGGACGACGGAUGCGGCAGUUGGUCAAGACACGGCAGCCUACUCGAGGUGCUUCUCGCCUGGAGGACGCAGGCGAAUCGCGUUAUCCGAGCUGUGCCUCGUCAUGGUGCGAUGAGCCUUAAUAGACUAAUGCAUAUUCUUCCUUUGGCUGUAAUUCAUUUGCUGCUGCCCGCUGGGCUAAGGAGUAACUCUGGGCGCCUACUUUGGGCAGACGCUCGUCCAGUGCCGCUCUUCGUUUGCCGCACAUAUCUUUAUUUAUUCUUUGUUACAAUUCCGUCUUUGGUCAUUUUUUUUACCAUGGGGGCACUUGAAAGUUUUGUUUUUAAAUCUGUGGACAUUGAACCUGGAAUCGGUUUUAUGUCGGAUUUCGGUUUUGUUUUUGCACUGUGGAAAUAUCUCGUUCAAUAUUUUUAAAGGAAAAGGGCCACCUUUAACAUGGGGAUUGAAACUGAGAUAGCCAUCUUGUAGCCCGUGUCCGAAAACCUAUUUGUCUACCUCCUUACGGCCGAUUUCGGCCUCCAUUCGUAGUUAUCGGCAAUUUUAAAAGAAAAUACGCCAGGAAUGCGUUCUUAUCCCAGGAAUGCGUUCUUAUCCGACAAUACAGCCACCCGCGGCGAGGCUUUGGUUUUUUACCAAUCAGCUCCAACCAGCUCAGCUUUAACCAAUCAGCUUAUCUGACACAAUCCGACGAGUCUGUCUUCUGAACGCUGAUUGGUUUGAGUGUGACGUCAUCGCUAUGCCAUCAUACAGUAGGUGCCGUAGAGAGUAUCAACAUAGUACCAAUAUGUUAAAUAGUUUUAAAUACUUUUUCGCAAAUUGUGCACUUCUGGCACCAGUUUUAAAAAGAAAAUGAAAAAUAAUAAUGUCAAAAUGAAAAACAACGAUAUCUUCAUAUUUCACGAAGGUGGCCCUUUUCCUUUAAGAUAGGGCGUGCUAAAACUUUUAGUCUCAUUACUCCUCUGUGCAUCUAAAUUCUAAAGUACUAUAAUGUGCAUCUCAAGUGUUUGGUGCUGUACUGUUAUUAUUUAUGGUUAAUCCAGUGCUGUACUGUUAUUAUUUAUGGUUAAUCCAGUUUUUAUUCGAUUGAAUCGUUGUGUGUAGUGCAUGACAUCCGCGUACCGCCUGUAGCAGUGUUAUAUAUUUUCAUUUAUGCUGGAAAAUAAUAACUUUCUUGUUCAUUG